GACGAACGCUGGCGGCGUGCCUAAUACAUGCAAGUCGAACGCAGGGGGGACGGGUGAGUAACACGUGGGGAACCUCCCAUCAGAGGGGAUAACACUUGGACACAGGUGCUAAACCGAUACUGAAGGGUGGCCCCGCGGUGCAUUAGCUAGUUGGUGAGGUAACGGCUCACCAAGGCCACGAUGCAUAGCUGACCUGAUAGGGUGAUCGGCCACACUGGGACUGAGACACGGCCCAGACUCCUACGGGAGGCAGCAGUGGGGAAUCUUCGGCAAUGGACGAAAGUCUGACCGAGCAACGCCGCGUGAGUGAAGAAGGUUUUCGGAGCGUAAAACUCUGUUGUUAGAGAAGCGGUAUCUAACCAGAAAGCCACGGCUAACUACGUGCCAGCAGCCGCGGUAAUAC
rnacentral:rRNA from 1 species